UGUGAGCGAAUUCAUUCACACCUGUUAAUUGACGUUCUUCUCUACAUGGAGCUGCAAUUGCAAUGGAUGCUUGUGGUCUGAUGUGCAGCCCCCUCUGAUGUGCUCAGAUGAGCCAAGUUUGCAAGGCCUGACUCUCGGUUGUAAGGCAUGUUGUUAUAAAGCACCAUCGUAGGGGCAACCUUGAUUUCUGCAGCCACCAGAGCUCUCCGCCGUGCUUCUCCCUGUGGUGUGAGACCGUAUUGGAGGCCAUGCAGAAGCCUGGUCAUAACCAUGGAACCACAGAAGCGUUACCCAGACAGAAGGAGCCUUUGUCACCUGGACUUCCUACCAAUGACCCAGGCAGUGGAAGUCAGCAUCCCAAGCAUCCAUGAAACCCC